rnacentral:rRNA from 1 species
GAUGAACGCUGGCGGCGUGCCUAAUACAUGCAAGUCGAGCGAACAGACGAGGAGCUUACUCCUCUGACGUUAGCGGCGGACGGGUGAGUCACACGUGGAUAACCUACCUAUAAGACUGGGAUAACUUCGGGAAACCGGAGCUAAUACCGGAUAACAUGUUGAACCGCAUGGUUCAACAGUGAAAGACGGUCUUGCUGUCACUUAUAGAUGGAUCCGCGUCGCAUUAGCUAGUUGGUAAGGUAACGGCUUACCAAGGCAACGCUGCGUAGCCGACCUGAGAGGGUGAUCGGCCACACUGGAACUGAGACACGGUCCAGACUCCUACGGGAGGCAGCAGUAGGGAAUCUUCCGCAAUGGGCGAAAGCCUGACGGAGCAACGCCGCGUGAGUGAAGAAGGUCUUCGGAUCGUAAAACUCUGUUAUUAGGGAAGAACAAAUGUGUAAGUAACUAUGCACGUCUUGACGGUACCUAAUCAGAAAGCCACGGCUAACUACGUG